UACAGAGGUCUCAAGCGUUGUUCGGAUUCAUUGGGCGUAAAGGGCGCGUAGGCGGCGAGGUAAGUCGGGUGUGAAAUCUCAGAGCUCAACUCUGAAACUGCACUCGAUACUGCUUUGCUAGAGGACUGGAGAGGAGAUUGGAAUUCACGGUGUAGCAGUGAAAUGCGUAGAGAUCGUGAGGAAGACCAGUGGCGAAGGCGGAUCUCUGGACAGUUCCUGACGCUGAGGCGCGAAGGCCUGGGGAGCAAACGGG
rnacentral:rRNA from 1 species